GGAGAGGUGGCUCAGUAGUCUAAGAGCACUGGCUUCUCAAGCAGAGGACCCAGGUUUGAUUCCUAGCACCUACA
rnacentral:tRNA from 1 species